rnacentral:rRNA from 1 species
AGUGAACGCUGGCGGCGUGCUUAACACAUGCAAGUCGAACGAGAACGGAUUAUAGCUUGCUAUAAUUGUCAGCUAAGUGGCGCACGGGUGAGUAAUGUAUAGGUAAUAUGCCUCUUACUAAGGGAUAACAAAUGGAAACGUUUGCUAAUACCUUAUACUCCUUAUUAACAGAAGUUAAUAAGGGAAAGAUUUAUUGGUAAGAGAUUAGCCUGUAUUGUAUCAGUUAGUUGGUGGGGUAAUGGCUUACCAAGACUAUGACACAUAAGUGGUUUGGGAGGAUGAACAGUCACACUGGAACGGGGACACGGUCCAGACUCCGACGGGAGGCAGCAGUGGGAGAUAUUGCACAAUGGACGAAAGUCUGACGCAGCAACGCCGCGCGGAGGAUGACACAUUUCGGUGCGUAAACUCCUUUUAUAUGAGAAGAUAAUGACGGUAUUAUAUGAAUAGGCACCGGCUAACUCCGUGCCAGCAGCCGCUGCAG